UACAGAGGGGGCAAGCGUUGUUCGGAAUUACUGGGCGUAAAGGGCGCGUAGGCGGCCUUCUUAGUCGAACGUGAAAUCCCCGGGCUCAACCCGGGAACUGCGUCCGAUACUGGAUGGCUUGAAUCCGGGAGAGGGAUGCAGAAUUCCAGGUGUAGCGGUGAAAUGCGUAGAUAUCUGGAGGAAUACCGGUGGCGAAGGCGGCAUCCUGGACCGGCAUUGACGCUGAGGAGCGAAAGCCAGGGGAGCAAACGGG
rnacentral:rRNA from 1 species